rnacentral:lncRNA from 1 species
GCGAGAUUCCGUGGGCGUAGGACCCUCUGAGCCAGGUGUGGGAUAUAGUCUCGUGGUGAGCCGUUUCUUAAGCCGGUCUGAAAAGCGCAAUAUUCGGGUGGGAGUGACCCGAUUUUCCAGGUGCGUCCGUCACCCCUUUCUUUGACUCGGAAAGGGAACUCCCUGACCCCUUGCGCUUCCCAGGUGAGGCAAUGCCUCGCCCUGCUUCGGCUCGCGCACGGUGCGCACACACACAGGCCUGCGCCCACUGUCUGGCACUCCCUAGUGAGAUGAACCCGGUACCUCAGAUGGAAAUGCAGAAAUCACCCGUCUUCUGUGUCGCUCACGCUGGGAGCUGUAGACCGGAGCUGUUCCUAUUCGGCCAUCUUGGCUCCUCCUCUGUACCAGGAAACACCUUAGUGUCAUAUUUCUGCAUUAAUCAUGGAAUCUAUUUUCAUUUAAAACCCCAAACAGAAGGAAACAGGGAUUAAUUGUGUCUGCCCAGUAUGGCAUGAAGGUUUCAUCACCUGUGGUAACUCCAGUUGAUUGAAGGUGGUUACAUGAAGAGAUAUGUUGGAACAAAUUGUGAGACACUGUUAGGGCUCUGCUGGCAAGUGUGGUUACCUAUGAGUAAUGACUACUAUGGGUGCUGAAGGUGUGAGGGAAGGUGCAAGUGCUUAGGUAUUUGCUGUCUAUAUCUUAAGUCUUCGGCAUAUAAUUACCACGUGUCCUUGGGAAGAAGGGAGGUCUCAAAAUCAUCCCUGGAUAAUUUCUUUGGUUUUUCGCCUCUUUCCAUCAUUUAGUCUUUCUUUAUCCCUUUCUGAUAUCUACUGUACAUUUAAUUAAGCUUAGCAGUAUAGAGAUAGAAAACAGGCUGCAAAUAUUAUCCCCAUACCUAACCAAGACUCUCAUUUAAAUCACUGGCAAUGUAAUUCUUGCUUGCCCCACACCAUUGAUUUGCAUAUUUUGGUGGGUAAAACAAUCACCUGAGGACAUGGUUUCAAAUAUAAGCUCUGGCUUUUACUCCCAAGAGAUUCAGAUUAGAAAUAGAUGCAUUUGAUCUGUAUCUUAACUGAGAUACAUUUGAUCAGUUUCAACUGAGAUACAUUUUGAAACUGAUCUGCAUUUAAAAGGCACUCUGAGUAUCUGUGAGGCAGAAGACUUUGGACCAUAAUUUGAGCAACACUACCCUAAACUCAGAUAAAUUGCUCUUUUUACCCAGGAGCUGGGACAGGAUUUAAUAUGAGCCACAGCGUCAGUCCUUCUGUCUACCUCCAGGGGAACUAGUACUCUUUUUUUUUUUUUUUUUUUUUUUUUUGAGACGGAGUCUCGCUCUGUCGCCCAGGCUGGAGUGCAGUGGCGCGAUCUCGGCUCACUGCAAGCUCCGCCUCCCAGGUUCACGCCAUUCUCCUGCCUCAGCCUCCCGAGUAGCUGGGACUACAGGCGCCCGCUACCACGCCCGGCUAAUUUUUUUGUAUUUUUUGUAGAGACGGGGUUUCACCGUGUUAGCCAGGAUGGUCUCGAUCUCCUGACCUCGUGAUCCGCCCGCCUCGGCCUCCCAAAGUGCUGGGAUUACAGGCGUGAGCCACCGCGCCCGGCCGGAACUAGUACUCUUGCAAGAAAAUCACUGGGAGAUGAUUUAGGAGGAGGAGCACAACUUUAGGUUUGAAUAUGAAAUUGGAACAAGUGUACUCAUAGGCUCAGCAUUCACUCUCUUAUCCCAGUCCCCUCCUGCUUUUUGGCUUAUUCUCUUUAUUAUUCAUGCACAAGAUGUUCCCUCUCUUUUCACUCUCACAGAAUCAUGCAUUGUUUUGAGGUUGAAAUUGUCUUUCUUAUCUUUGUAUUCCUUACAGUAAACACACAUAAUAAGGAUUCAACAAUAUUUUUCAAAGGAAAUAAAACAUCAAGCCCAGGGGCCACUGAUUUAAUUGCUCUCUUGAGCAAGUCCAUUCAUGGCUCUAAAUGUCUAUUUACUAUGGUUAUUCAUGAUGUUGAUGAAUGUCUCAGCAACUACCAUUAACUGAGCACUUCUACUCGAUGCAGACUAUUGUGUUGUGCUGAGUUUUACCUUCAUUCUUCGUUUCACUUAGUCCUCAUAACAAUCCUUAGAGGGUGUCAACAGAGGCAACAAAAGGAAAGUGGGCAAACCUUUAAUAUGCAAGGUCUCUUCUCAUUAUGCAGAGAACAAUGGCCACUGAACCUACAUCCAAUCAAACCAAGUCUGCUCGAGCUGCAGAAGUGCAAAUCCUUGGUCCCUAGACAUUAAUCAUUUCCAUACAUGAAUGAGAAGCUUGUGGGGAUAGGUAGUUUUAUUUAUAAGCCAACACAUACUCACUCCCGCUCCCUCCAUACAUACACAUAAGCUUCAGCCUUUUUAAGACACAAGGGUGUCUUUCAGUUUACCUACUUUUUUAGACCUGUGUGGAUAUAAGGAUUACAGGUUUCCUGCCUGUCCAGGAAGAGUGAUCACUUUGCUCUCUAAGAACUUAACUCCCAGGCUUAAUUAUUAUGCGAGUGUGCAAGUGUAUUAAGCAUGUAGGCCAAAAGCAAUUUAAAGUCUAUGCUGCAUUGACUUUCAAAUUAUUUCAUUUCUAAUUCAGAUGCAUGCUUUGUUAAGGCAUUUAUCACUGUUAUAUCAUCAGCCAGAUUGUUCCAUGACUACAGUCCCUCAAAACCUCUAUCCCCACCGGGUCCACAUCAGGAGCACUAAAUGACAUCCCCUACCCUCGUACGUUGAGUCAAGCUUGGAGUCUCCUCCCCAAGUGCCUCACUUCAUCUUUCGAUGUAUCUCCCACUGGUGGAAAAUGUAUCAAACACUGCAUAUCUCAUCAGCAAGACCAUUUGUUUCUCCUUACUAAGGCAUUGUGGUGCUCCUAGAAAGGUGGACACAGUUUCACGCCCGCACUCAGAAUUCCUUGAAACUAGUCAAAUGACUUUCAUCAGUAAAUCAGAUAUUACUUCCUUGAAUAUGUUGGAUUCUUAGAAAAAUUAAUGAAUACAAAGAUUCUAUAGUCUUGGAACGUGAGGAAUUAACAGAUAACCAAAGCAUCUUAAAGCCAUACCUAAUGUCAGUAAUCUAUCCCUUGUAAACGUAAAUCUAACGAUGUCUAUACUAACAGCUUCUAAAGGACCAAUAGUCCUUCCCCAUCCAGACCUCUUAACCUCAAUGAAGACUAUUCCCACCAUACAUGCCACAUAUUAAACCUGUAUCUGGGAGGAGGAGAGAGUUUCUGGGAUAUGGAGAAAGACAAUAUUUUUGCUGUUCCUUUGUCCUUAACAUUUUUAUUUUGUCUUGAUAUUUUUACUUAUUCCAUGAUUUUGCAGCUAAAGAAUGGAGUCGGAGAUGGAGCAGAGAGAAUAUUUGGAAAAUAACUAAAAUUAGCAGGUAUCCCGAUGGAAAAUAUCAUAGAUUUGUGACAAAAGAUGUGUGUCAGUGGGACUCAAGAAAACCUACAGACCCCUUACUAUUAAAAAUGGAACAGUAAUCCCUGAAUAUCAGGGUUUUCUUGAGGAUUAACUAUAAUAAUAACAUAACGGUGUUUGGUAAAGCUGGAAAGUAGCAUAUUCAUUAUUAUGGAUAACAUUUUAAAAGGUUUAAUGCUGAAAUAAGCAACUCGAUCUCCGAAAAUUUUAAUCUGGUUUUAUCAGAUCCUUUAAGCAAAAACAAUGUUAAAAUAAAAUGUAAUUUUGGCUUAAGGGGAAGAUUUCCAACUAUGGUGUGUUUGUGUGUGUGUGUGUGUGUGUGUGUGUAUACUGGUAUAAAUCAAUGAACAUUCAUUCUAGAUUUCAAUAAUUUUACUAAAGAGAAUAAUGUUUGCUUUUGUUAUUUGACAAGGGAGGUGGCAUCGUAAAUACUUCAUUAUGUUGCAUUUUCUCAUCAGUCUCUUUCUCAUCCCAGCAGAUGCAAACUGUGCACUUACAGUCAGUAGCAGAAUAAAAAAUCUGGGCUUUUGGUACUGAUUUGGUAUGACCUUCUUCUUUCUCAUUUUGAAACCUCUUACUGCUGCCAGAGAAACCAACAACACUCUUUGCACUAUGUUACACUCAAGGUAGCUGAAAAACUUCAUCAAUAAGUAUCCUGAGGUUUAAGCCAACCAAUAAAAUUAAAGAAAAGAAAGUCAUUACAGUAGGAUGUGUGAUUUAGGGCCAACAUGAAAAGCAACGAAGAGAACUCUGUAUGUCACUAAUGGAAACUUGGCCAGUUCCUACCUACUAAUAAAUAAUGUGCUGUUAAGCUGAGAGCUAAAUAUUUGGGUGAGGAUUUGGAGAUUCCAGAAAUCCUGAAACUAAUUAAGACAUAAAUAUGAGGAUCCUGAAAAGUUCAAGGAUAGAUUAGGGGGAAUGAAUGCACCAGCAAGAUGACCUCACUCUCCAGCAAACAGGCUCAGGUGAGGUAGGACAUUGAAAUGGAACUGGGUCCCUGGAGGACAUGAAGGAAGCUGAAACAGAGUGUGUGGGAUCUAAGAAGGAAAAAUUUGUAUUUUUGUGUACUUUUGGUUUUCGAUCCUUAUACUGAUCUACUUGUAUCAAGAGGAAUAGAAUAAGUCAAGUUGAUAUGAGAAAAAAGAAAAGUGAUUUUCAAGGGCUUUGGAGGGGGUGGGGGUACACAAUGGUGCAAUCGUUUCUGGCCACUCCUGAGCCAGCAAAUGAGAAAAGAAUCCUCAGGAGUGUUAAUAGCGCCUGGAGUGCUGUGUGUGGAGGAUGAGUGGGCUCAAGCUCAGAGAUUUGCUUUUGUGUUUCAUCUGAAACCAAUCAGUAAGCGAAAAAGCAGAAAGCUCUUUUGGCAUCUAUUCCACCAUUGACACUGGGAGAAGGAAAGAGGAUUUAUACAUAGAGACCCCCAUUAACACUAAUGAAAAGUAGGCGGGUAAAUCCCAUGUGUACGAGGAGCAAACACUGUCCUUUGUGUGGGGGUAAUUAAGAGCUAAAGAGAGCUUACAGUUGCUCACCACUGCACACAUGCUCCUGGUGAAAGCUCCUUCACAGCAGUGUUGCAGUGGCUUUCUUUAGUUUCAAUGGUUGCAGCCUAACAGUUGUUAACCAUCUCUCGCCCUCGUUCCCCCAUAAAGGAGUGAAAGGGAACGAUGUAUUGGAAAUGACAGUAUUUGACACUAUUGGCAAAGGGGCUUUCAAGGAAAACGUACAAGCAAAGAAAGGAGACAUUCAAAACGAACCUAAAUUUAAGCAGAAGAGAAUAAUAAGUGGCUCAAGGGAAAUAACCCUAUACUCAUAACAUCCUUGCCAGCACCCAAUCCUUUGGAACUGUGGCAGGAAGAGGAGCCAUGUGUAAACCAAGAAUAUGGAAUACUAGCAAGCACCACGUCUAAGGUCCAAAGCCAUAAAUAUGGCAAGAAGAUGCUCCAGUGAUGGCAGGAAUGGAGAAGAAAAGGUGAGAGCUAGGACAUCAUUCCAUUUUUACUCUGCAGACCAACCCUGGAAAUGUAGUUCUACAUUCAUUCUGAGUUCCAGAAGUAUCUGAAGGCAGUAAAAAAAAAAAUUAUCUUUUCCUAGGGCAAUGUUCAAGUCUCAAGACCAACUGUUGAACUUAACAGGUUGGACCCAUAUGAACAAAGAACAAAAUGAAAUUUUACAUGUAUGAAAUGCCUGUGAAGUCUUUUAUUUAUUGAUUUUUCUGAUGAAACAUAGGGAACCCUAGUGGAUGUACAGGCUAGAAAGACAUAUUUAAUUCAGCACAAGCUCAAUAAGUAUUCAGAGUAUUUUUGUGUUUGAUUACUCCAGGUCCUUGCACAUAUCCUAUUGUAUGUACGAUAUGAUCUCAGCCUAAUGAUUGAUUGAAGAAAUACAUGAGAUUGAAAGAUAAGUUGAUUCACAAUCGAACUGCCUCCUUAUCUUGAGAGGAAUCAUCUGUUUUGCUUUUCAUAGUUUUGAUCUAGAGUGUAAUUUCCAUUCUAAACAACAAAAUUUUAGAGAAACAUUGAUAAACAAUGGUCCAGGAAAGUGAGAUGUCUAUGAAGAGUAUUAUAUAAAAAUCCACUUGAAUGAAUUGAAGAGAAUGUUUCUAGAGUAGCUAAUACUCAAGACCAAAAAAAAGCAGCUUUUGCAUAGUGAAAGGUUAUCAUGAAGAAUGGAAACUUUUUUUGUGGAUGAGGCACCUUCAUUAUUAGCAGUUAUUAACAGUUUCAGCUGCUUGAACAGAAAGACUCAAUAUAACAGAGUAUGAACUAAGCAGCUCAGAGCUGAUAUGGCAGCUGCAUGUUAUUUGGGAUCAAGGACCUUUCUGUUUGUUCUCUAACACUUCUCAAAAUGUCUCCAUCUCCUGGUCCCAAAUGGCUACUCCCAUUUCCACUGUCACUUCUACACUCUAGCCAGCAGAAGGGAAGAAAAAAAAGGGAAAGAAAAUAUACUCCUUAUCUUUAAGUGCAGGAUCUAAAAGUUUCAAGCGCUUCCUUUCACAUCCAUUGGUCAAAACUUACUUACAUGGCCCUGAUUAGCUGCAGGGGAUAAUAUGAAAUGUAGAUUUUAGCCUCCACUUCUAUGGAAAAUAGGAGACUCAAUAAUAGCAAAAAAAAAAAAGUGGCUAUUUAUUUUACUGUCACAUAUAUAGCACAUACAUCAUUAGCUAGAAGUUUGUGAAUGAUUUCAGGUAGGUAACUUAACAUCUCUAUCUCAACUAAUUUUAAGAAGGGAUUUCUAGCAAUUAGAUAUAUAAACUAUAAUAUUGAUAUAUAUGUGUUACAUGUAAAAUGUGUAUUAUAUUCAUAAUGCUCAUAACAGCAUUAUUCAUAAUAGCUAAAAUGUGGAAACAAAUCAAAUGCCCAACUGAUUAUCACACAACUGAUGAAUGGUAAAUAAAAUGUGGUAUAUUUAUAAAAUAAAGUAUUAUAUGGCAAUAAAAAGGAAUGAAGUACUGACACAUACUAAAACAUGAUGAAAUUUGAAAAACAUGCUAAAGAAGCCAGCUACAAAAGAUCAUAUAUUUUAUGAUUUCCUUUAUAUGUACUGUCCAGAGAGUAGGCAAAUCUACAAACACAUAAAGUACAUUAGUGUUUGCUUUAGGUUGUAGAGGACUUGGUGACAAACUGAAUAAGAGUGUUCUCAAAUGGAUUCUGCUUGUAACAGUUGUGCAACUCUGUGAAUAUACUAAAAAGUACUGAAUUGUCCAUUUUUAAAUGGAUAGAUGUAAUGAUAGUUGAAUUAGAUUUCAAUAAAGCUGUUUUUAAAAAGUUAAAAAAUGCUAAUAUUCUAUAGCAAAGAUCUCAUGUAGGUUACAUCUGACUCCAGUAUGCAGCCCAAAAAGAAAAUAUAAAGGUUUUUAAUGAAUAAACUUACAUAUGUGAACCACCCGUUUUUAGGAAAUAUGAGAGAUUUGUCCUAAACGUGAAAAAUCUGAUUUCACUUGUCACAUGUUAACACCUGCACUAAAGGUGUGUGUGUGUGCAUGUGUGUGUGUGUAUGAGUGGGAGGAAGGAUAUAUGCAGAAACAUGUACUAUGUCCAGCUUCCCUUUUCUCUAGCCACUCAAUAACACUUAAUAUUUUUGAGUGCAUAUACCAAGAACUAUACUAAAAAUAUCAAAUACAUUAUCUCACUUAAUCUUUAUAGAAAUCUCAUGAAACUACAAAUCUGAAGACUAAAAAACGUAUGCAUCUAGCAUGAAGUUACUUAGGUAGUAGGUUAGAUAGCUGGGGUUUGAACUCAGAUUCACCGAGUUCAAACGUUGAUCAACUUGCAAUAUCACAUGCAACUUCUAUUAUGCAAGGUGUGCAGUGAGAGUUCAAGAAAGUCCCUUGGUGCAUAUUACCAAUUUGAAAAUAUGGAAUGAUGUUGGAAAUGUGUGAAGAUGAUUGAUUCAUUGAGCUCUUUCAUUGGCCCAAAGACUUUCUUCAUUUAAUUUUGUGUGUGUGUAAGAGAGAGACAGGGUCUCACUCUUUUGCUCAGACUGGAGUGCAGUGGCAUGAUCACAGCUCACUGCAGCCUCCAUCUCUCCAGUCUCAGGUGAUUCUUCCACCUCAAACUCCUGAGUAGCUGAGACUACAGGCUCAUGCCAUCACACUCAGCUAAUUGUGUUUUUGUUGUUGUUUGUUUGAUUUUGUAGAGACAGGGUGUUGUUAUGUCACCCAGGCUGGUCUGGAACUCCUGGGCUCAAGCCAUCUGCCCACUUUGACCCCCCACAGAGCUGGGAUAACAGGUGUGAGCACUGUACCUGGCCACUUCAUUUAAUUUUUAGUUGAUAAACUUAUUUUUUAGGGCAGUGUUAGGUUCACAGCAAAAUUGAACAGUAAGUACAGAAGAUUUCCACAUACUUCACCUCCCUAAAACACUCAGCCAUCCCUAUAGUCAACUAGAGUGCUACAUUUGUUAUAGUUGUUAAACUAAUGUGGACACAUCAUUAUCACCCAAACUCCAUAGUUGACAUUACUGUUCAUUCUUUGUGUUACAUAUUCUGUGUGUAUUGAAAAAUGUGUAAUGACAUGAAUCUACCAUUAUAUUAUCAUGCAAAAUAGUUUCACUGCCCUGAACAAUCGUCUGUGGUCUCCCAAUUUAUCCUUUCUCUACUCCCCAAAUCCUGGCAACCAUGGAUUCUUUUAGUUUUGCUUUUUCCAGAAUGGGAUAGUUGAAAUUAAACAGUAUACAGCCUUUUCAGAUUUACUACUUUCCCUUAGUAAUAUGCAUUUAGGGAUCCUCUUGUAUUUUUGAGGCAGGGUAGAUUAUUUUUUAGUACUGAAUAAUACUCCAUUAUAUAGAUAUACCACGGUUUAUCCAUUUCCCUGUUGAUGGACAUCUUCACUGAUUCCAUAUUUUGACAUUAUAAAGAAAGUUACUAUAAACACACAAGUUCAUUUUUUUGUGAGGAUAUUCAUUUUUAACUGAUUUGGGUAAAUACCAAGGAACAUGAUUGCUGGAUUAUAUGGUAAGAAUAUGUUUAGUUUUGUAAAAACCUGCCUCUCAAGAGGUGGUACCAUCUUGUACUCUCACUAGCAAUGAAUGAGUAUUCUUGUACACCCAUCCUCACAAGGAUUUAGUGUCACUGUCUUGGAUUUUUGCCAUUCUAAUAGGUGUUUUUGAGUCCUUAUUAUUGUUUUAAUUUGAAAUUUCUUGAUGAUGUAUGAUAUUGGGCAUCCUUUCUCAUGCGUAUUUGCCAUCUGUAUUCAUGAAUAUGUAUUCAUUGAUGAGCUGUUUGUUCAGAUCUUUUGCUCAUGUUUUGGUUGAGUUGUUGGUUUUCUCCAAGGAUUUUUUUUUUAAUGUUUAAACUAGAAGCAUGAGCUGUUAGACUCUCCUUUAACCCAGAGAUGUUAUAGAUAAGACACUAGCCUUGAAAAUACUAAUUAUCUAUUUUUUAAAGAAUUAGAACAAUUGAGAUAGGGAUUGCCUUGCAUAUAUGGAUUGACAAGAUGGUAACUAGAGGCUAUAAUUUACUUUUCUUUGGGAUGCCAUCCCAGACUUAAUAGAAUAGCAGAUUUUAAGGCAGACCUAAUUAUCAUAGACCUACCUAUUCAAAAUAACUUGGUCAUAAGGAAUUUACUGAAUUUAAGCUGUGACCAUCAAGAAAAUAUAGUAUCCUGGAAUUUCAAUAGUAGUCAGGAUCAUUUUCUAGACUCAAGAUGUUAAGGGAUCAGCAAACACCGCUUUUCCUGGGCCACAGAAACUUUAUUGAAAAGCCUGUGAAAUUAUCUUCUCUACUCCAAAGAUAUCGUCUAGGUCUUGUCUUUCUACUCCUGUCCUGAACAUUCAGUUUAAAGCAGUCCAUUUUACUCUAUUUGGAUUUUAUUAAAAGGCUUUGGAAUACCUCAGCAACGCUGACCUAGAAACUCUUCAUAGUGUUCUGCCGUUUGUAAUCGUUUCUAGUCUACGCUCUGUGAUGCCGUGGAAGUUCAGCUCUGAAUCAAGCUCAGCCUAAAGUUCUAGAACAUGGUACCACUUUUGGUUCCACCAGCCUCCAUUUCCCGAUUGAGAAUAGGACAAUGAGAAUCGGAGUCAGGGACAACACUAUGUUAUUAACUUUUGACAAUCAGAGUCAGCUUUUGGAGAAUAAGUUACCUUUUUAUGAAACUCAAAUUAAAUUUGAACAACAUCAGUAAUGCCAACUUGACAGAGUUUAGGUAUGGUCUGACGAAAAACACUCACUAUUUUUAGAAUACUUUUCAUAUUUAAAUACCAGUACUAUGAUUGAGUUGGUUAAACAUGAUCAAAGGGUGUGUGUGUGUGUGUGUGUGUGUGUGUGUGUGGUGUAUAUAAAUAUUUUAUAAAUAUAAAAAGAUAAAUGCGUAUAACUUUUAUUUUUAUGAAAAUACAUUUAUUGUUUCCCAUAGGUUCGCCUUUCCUACAGAAAACCCAAAUUCUUCAAUAGCUAAAAAGGUUUACUGUACUCUUGUUACAAACAUGAUCCAUGUUUCUAUACCUAUAUUUAAGUAUGAGAACAGCCAACUACGGAAACACUUUGGCCAUUCCCGUCAGUGCAAUGUGGAGUCCCACAUGGGCGCCUUCUGCUAGUUCACCCCCUGGUGGUAACACAAAAUUCAUUCAUGAGCUAUGGCACCAUUUCUCCUUUGUAGUCCUACCCACUAACAUCUGUCAGAUACUACUCACUUUUCAAAGCCCAACACCCAUAAAGUUAUAUAUCAAAAGCUUGGAGGUCCAAAAUUUCAGGAAUCUUGGUUCUAAUGUAAAGCAAAGUAUGUCAAAUGGAACAUAGUAAUACUUGCUCUUACCAUCCUUUGAUUCAAGUGAAUUUAGUACAGGAAUGCAUAGGCAAUCUCUUUAACAAUUGUUCUAAUUUUCCCUCAAUAUCAUUUUUUGCUAAUCUUAUCUUUUGCUUUUCUGAUUUUAAGUAACCUCUUCUGUUUUUACAAACUGGUUGGGCCUUUAAUAUAUUUAUUAUUUCCACAGCUACAGUUUUUCAAGCACCGCUGUCAUGGAUAAAAAUGCAUAGUACAGAUAGCAGUUUAUUCAAAAUAAAACAUUAAUGGAAACGAAAAGCUUGAAUUGUAUGACACAGCUUGUAUGAAGAGUUUGAUGUGUUAUCUUUAGGCCUUUCAGACAUUUCAUAAUCAGAUGCUCUUCUAAUACUGAACACCCUCCCUUGGCUAUCUCCUCAUCUGUCCUAUGAAACCUGGUUCUCUAAAUGCUUCUGUUAUCCAACUCUCUUUAUAUAAACUUCUGUUGUUAAUUAUUAGAGCAAAUAUUAAAAACUAUUAUAGAUAUUCGUGAUCCUGUCAUUAGGCAAAUCUUUGGCCAGCCUCCC